GUAUACCUAGAAGAGAAGCAGUUCCUUCAGGGACAGGUUUUAAGGGCGAGAGCUUUCAUUUCAUUCAGAAAUGGCAAAUAAACAUCAGGGACAGCCUAUUUGUUCAGUUCUACUGUUUCCAGUACAUGCACAGUAGAGAAGAAAUUGGCAGCUCCCACACAAAGCCCUUAGCAGAGGUUUGCUUGCAUUCCUCUUUUUCUAGCCAUCAGAUGACUUUCCGCAUCUAACUCUGUUCAAGGCCAACACAGUAACAGGGAACUGUCAUUAACAGUCCCACCCAAAAAAAACAUACAGUUGACUAUGGAAGAUUAUACAGACACUCCCUUUUUAAAUAACUGAUAAGUUGCUUUUCCAGCAACCCUAAGAAGUUAAAGGAGCUAGCACCAAGUUUAACACAUUUCUCACAAGCUUACAUACCACGGCCCACAGACAUAUCCCUAUACAAGCAGCAUCCAAAGAGCACUUCUACCUUACUGGAAGUAACAUCCCUGCAGCACUUUGCACUUGCUAGAUACUACUGUCUCUAUCACCCAUACUUACAACACAACACCCUUCCACACGCGCCAGAAAACACUUAGUGUGAAGGUUUUGCAGGACAUGACACGUUUUGAAUGAAUUACUUAGAAUCACAGCACUAAAAAAAGGUUUUACAACACACCUCAAAAUCGACACAUUAGUACAAGUUAUAAGACAAGGCAGAAAGACCAGGCAAACGUCCCUAGAAGUAGAACCCAUAUACUGCUCCAUUGGCAAAGAGAAACCCAGAAAGACAAAUCACACUGAGUGCUUUCCACCAGAACACUGCGCUUUGGAUCCAGGUGGAUGACAAGAAAUUGAUGUAAUACGAUGCUGUCUGAAGUCCCCUCGUCCUCUGGAUUUCUUGACUCCUUCCCUGCGUCUGCAACAGAGACAUGCAGGAAGCCAAAGACUCAUCUUUCAGCACCCCCCACAAAAUCCAAAACCUUCUCCUUAUCUAGAAGAUAUAUACAAGAGUCUUGCACAAACACACUCUAAAAGGCAGCAUAUCUCAUCAGCUCCUGCCUCUCUCUUCCUGCCUAUGGAACAAAGCCACAGCCCAAAGCUCAGCACCUUAGGUACUACAGCAUUUGCUCUCUUUGGAGGAAGGGACUAUUGAAAAGAGUGUUCAGCCACAGGUCACUCCUAAUGCCCAGAAGUCUGACACGUGUGGUGUAGAGAGGCUGCUGCAGCCCUUCUUUUGCACAGCAGUGACAGCCACAGCAUGUAAAUGGAAAAGGUUAUUGGAACAGAACUGAUGGCUGAGACUUUUUAAGGUAUACUUAAACAAAACAAUACUGUGGAUACCUUCAAGUCCUCCGUAUGUUUGUAUGUAGGGACAGUAGGGAAGUUGGGCACAAGAGGACAACAAUGACACACAGGAGGAAGCUGGGCAAAAGAAGGAAGGCUCCGAGUUUCAACCAGCAAAUGCCGGUAUUCCUUACCAGUGCUAUCAAUAACUACAUAUACCAACACAUCUGGCCACUAGCUUCAUAACAAAGACACCAUGGGAGCAGCACUGCAGAAUUAUACAUGACCCUGUAUCUUUAGCAUCUCAACUGCCUGUACUUCUACGAGCAUCAUCUGUAAAGACACAGAAUGAGAAGAUUCAGGGACAAAAAACAAGAGAACUGCGCAUAUCACAGAGCAGCUCUGGUCUUCACUACAAUAUGAAACUCAAGUUCCUAUGAUGUGAUCAGUACCCCUGCAAGGAAGCACGAGCCUUGCUCUUAGAUACAGGGUCUGUGGCUUUAUCUAAUCCAUUUGAGCUGUGCCCGCAGUAUGGAUGCACCACCCAGGUGACAACAGCGAUAAGAAGUGAUGUGCCAAAGGUGAGUCCUUUUUGCCCAACCCCACCCCAUACUACAGAAUACAAUAAAUGAUGUACAGGAGCCAACAAACCCCCUUGACGUCUACUGCACUGGUGCAGCAGGGGCAGGGUGUGAGAAUUAGACUGCUGUGUAAAUUAUUGGACAUGCCUUGAACAUGAGCUGCAGAUAAGGCCAGCUCACGGUGCCACUGGCACUGCAGUUCCACCCACUGACAGCAAAGGGCUGGUGAAGUUCAGCCCUCAGCCUGCUCAGCUCCUAUGGGCAAGGUUCAGAGGCAGCAUAACAGCGUGUUCCCCUUACAGCUGUUCUCAAAAGUCACCCUGGAAGCUGAAUGGAUGAGUACAUUGGGCUCAAAGGCAGGAGUUGUACCCAACUGGAUGACUGGGAGGGGUGAGAGCAUCCCUUGGCAGCAUUAGCUCUGCACUGACCGUUGCCAAUGCUGAAAGAAACCUUUAUAGGAAGGGCCAGCGCCUCUGAAAUCAGAAUGAAAAUCAAGAGCUGGUGGAAACACGCUUCAGUAAACACUAAAUCCUCACAGCAUCUGUACCACUGCGCUGUUCAUCAGCUCUGGGCUUGCUCAUAGCACCAAGUCGGUGAGCACCUCACAAGUUGUCCCUUUCCAUCUAGACUCACACGUGCAUUUGCAGAGAAGCUGUUCAGCUGCUCCGGACACGGUUCGGCCCGGGGGCCGCCUGCGGCUCAGCGUCGUGUGGACGCAGCUCCCAGGCCUGCAGCACGGCUCCCUUCGCUUCCACCUGUUAAGGCAUCAGGUCAAUGGAAGCCGAACCACGGCUGCCAGGAGCCCGCCGGUUCUGACGCAGCCCUGUCAUCACAGAACGACCAGAAGAGAAGGGAACCACGCCGGCCCGUUCCGAUCCCCCCACGGGAGGCAGCACGGCCAGCGCCCCGCGGCCCCACCGACCCCCCGCCGUUACAUAACCGCGCGCAGCACCGACCCCGGGGAUGCCGCGCCGCUCCCGGCCGCAGCUAUCACCUCUUCACUUCGGCAUCAAGCACCACGACGGGAGCCUCUCAUUAAUAUUUUACUUGGUCGUGACUAAUGCAACCUCUCCGACAUCACUCUCCGCCCUAGCAACCAGGUAUGCCUGUGGUUCUGUAGUUUGAAAACAGAGCAGUGUUAUCAUCAAACAGCCUACGCUCUCCAGAGAUAAUACAGAACACUUCAAAAACGA